AGCAGCCGCGGUAAUUCCAGCUCCAAUAGCGUAUAUUAAAGUUGUUGCAGUUAAAAAGCUCGUAGUUGAAUUUCGGGAUUGACACAUCGGUCGUGCCUUAAGGGGUAUGAACUGGUGUAGUCAACUUCUCACCUUCUGGAGAACCACGAUGCCCUUAAUUGGGUGUCGCGGGGAACCAGGACCUUUACUUUGAAAAAAUUAGAGUAGUUUAAAGCAGGCAUUUUGCUUGAAUACAUUAGCAUGGAAUAAUAAAAUAGGACGGCAUGAUUCUAUUUUGUUGGUUUCUAGGAUCACCGUAAUGAUUAAUAGGGAUAGUUGGGGGCAUUAGUAUUCAAUUGUCAGAGGUGAAAUUCUUGGAUUUAUUGAAGACUAACUACUGCGAAAAGCAUUUGCCAAG
rnacentral:rRNA from 1 species